rnacentral:lncRNA from 1 species
CAAGUUUGUCGAAUAAAGAUAAAUAGGCACCAUUGACAAAUUGCUUGGAUUAGGUGGAAUAGUGCAAGUUUCAAACCUAUAAAUUGAAACAAUUUCUUCAUUAUAUAAUAAUCCAAAAAUUAAAAAAGAAACAAUUCAAUUAUAAAAUUAUUAAAAGAAUGGGCAAUUAGAGAAUUUGUAAUUGAGAAAUUUUUUUAUUGUGUGAUAGUACAUGAUGUAUUUAACAUCUGAAAAGUAAAAUUUCUUUACUCAAAUAUUAUACUAUAAUAAUUGAUAAUAAUAUAAUUAUUUUCUUUUAUUCUCGUAGACGUAAAUAUAUUACCGAACCACAUUAUAUUUUAUGUUCUUUAUUUUCCUGUGAUUAUUGAGUACACUUUUGAUACCGCUUUCCGCCCAGAAGAAACUAACCAUCAAGUUAAAACAACCCCGGAUGACACAUUCGAAGCUGUCAAAAAUUUACAAUAUGAUCUAACAAAGUAGAUAUCUUGAUAAUUUUUUUUUCUCUCGUCAUCGUCGCGAUGAUCCCGAUAUCAGUAAUCGACUUAAAAAGGAAAAGAAGAAUAAACAUUAAGAAAAAUUCAAUCAAACGAUUGUAAGUCAUAUAUAAUCAGAGAUCAUCACCGCCAUCCAUCGAGGCCAUAGAUCCAGGUCAAACGGCAGGGCUUUCCUGAACAACGACGAAGAAAAAAACGCAAUCUUCACCGUCAUCAGUAUCCGACGAUGAAGAUUCGGAAUCGCUCCGAUAGUCACCCCUGCCGCCGUGUUGGGACUCAAUUAGAGUCGCAACACGACGAUUCCGCGAC